GUGCCAGCAGCCGCGGUAAUACGUAGGGGGCGAGCGUUGUCCGGAAUUAUUGGGCGUAAAGAGCGUGUAGGCGGUUCGGUAAGUCUGUCGUGAAAUCCUGGGGCUCAACCCCGGGCGUGCGAUGGAUACUGCCGGGCUAGAGGAUGGUAGAGGCGAGUGGAAUUCCGAGUGUAGCGGUGAAAUGCGCAGAUAUUCGGAGGAACACCAGUAGCGAAGGCGGCUCGCUGGGCCAUACCUGACGCUGAGACGCGAAAGCGUGGGGAGCGAACAGGAUUAGAUACCCCAGUAGUCC
rnacentral:rRNA from 1 species